UACGGGGGGGGCAAGCGUUGUUCGGAAUUACUGGGCGUAAAGGGCUCGUAGGUGGCCAACUAAGUCAGACGUGAAAUCCCUCGGCUUAACCGGGGGAACUGCGUCUGAUACUGGAUGGCUUGAGUUUGGGAGAGGGACGCGGAAUUCCAGGUGUAGCGGUGAAAUGCGUAGAGAUGUGGAGGAACACCAGUGGCGAAGGCGGCUCUCUGGACUGUAACUGACGCUGAGGCGCGAAAGCGUGGGGAGCAAACAGG
rnacentral:rRNA from 1 species